AUACGGAGGACGCGAGCGUUAUCCGGAUUCAUUGGGUUUAAAGGGUGCGCAGGCGGCCGUGCAAGUCAGCGGUGAAAGCCCGGGGCUCAACCCCGGAAGUGCCGUUGAUACUGCAUGGCUGGAAUGCGGUCGAGGCGGGCGGGACGGGGCGGGGGGAGGGGGAAAGCGUAGAGAUCGGGAGGAACACCAGUGGCGAAGGCGGGUAACUGGACUGCAACUGACGCUGAGGCGCGAAAGUGUGGGGAGCAAACAGGAUUAGAUACCCUGGUAGUCCACACUGUAAACGAUGAAUGCUAGGUGUAAGGGGUAUCGACCCCUUUUGUGCCGGAGUCAACACAAUAAGCAUUCCGCCUGGGGAGUACGGCCGCAAGGUUGAAACUCAAAUGAAUUGACGGGG
rnacentral:rRNA from 1 species